AUGAACGCUGGCGGCUUGCCUAAUACCUGCAAGUCGAGCGAACAGAUGAGGAGCUUGCUCCUCUGACGUUAGCGGCGGACGGGUGAGUAACACGUGGAUAACCUACCUAUAAGACUGGGAUAACUUCGGGAAACCGGAGCUAAUACCGGAUAAUAUAUUGAACCGCAUGGUUCAAUAGUGAAAGACGGUUUUGCUGUCACUUAUAGAUGGAUCCGCGCCGCAUUAGCUAGUUGGUAAGGUAACGGCUUACCAAGGCAACGAUGCGUAGCCGACCUGAGAGGGUGAUCGGCCACACUGGAACUGAGACACGGUCCAGACUCCUACGGGAGGCAGCAGUAGGGAAUCUUCCGCAAUGGGCGAAAGCCUGACGGAGCAACGCCGCGUGAGUGAUGAAGGUCUUCGGAUCGUAAAACUCUGUUAUUAGGGAAGAACAAAUGUGUAAGUAACUAUGCACGUCUUGACGGUACCUAAUCAGAAAGCCACGGCUAACUACGUG
rnacentral:rRNA from 1 species